GACAGAGGGUGCAAACGUUGUUCGGAUUUACUGGGCGUAAAGCGCGUGUAGGCGGCUUUGCAAGUCGGAUGUGAAAGCCCACGGCUCAACCGUGGAAGUGCAUCCGAAACUGCAUGGCUGGAGUCUCGGAGAGGAAGGUGGAAUGCUUGGUGUAGAGGUGAAAUUCGUAGAUAUCAAGCAGAACACCUGCGGCGAAGGCGGCCUUCUAGACGAUGACUGACGCUGAGACGCGAAAGCGUGGGGAGCAAACAGG
rnacentral:rRNA from 1 species